GGAAGGGUGGCCGAGCGGCUUAAGGCGGCGGUCUUGAAAACCGCAGUGGGCGCAAGUUCACCGGGGGUUCAAAUCCCUCCCCUUCCGCCA
rnacentral:tRNA from 1 species